rnacentral:ribozyme from 1 species
GCCGCUCGAAACUUUGCACACCUCUCCGUGGUGGGCGGCAGGCAACGAUCUUAUUGCAGUAUGGUCGGCUGAGAUGCAGGA